AACGAACGCUGGCGGCAGGCUUAACACAUGCAAGUCGAACGCAUCCUUCGGGGUGAGUGGCAGACGGGUGAGUAACGCGUGGGAACGUGCCCUUCAGUUCGGGAUAACCCAGGGAAACUUGGGCUACUACCGGAUAAGUGCGAGAGCAGAAAGAUUUAUCGCUGAAGGAUCGGCCCGCGUCUGAUUAGCUAGUUGGUGGGGUAAUGGCCCACCAAGGCGACGAUCAGUAGCUGGUCUGAGAGGCUGAUCAGCCACAUUGGGACUGAGACACGGCCCAAACUCCUACGGGAGGCAGCAGUGGGGAAUAUUGGACAAUGGGCGCAAGCCUGAUCCAGCCAUGCCGCGUGAGUGGUGAAGGCCUUAGGGUUGUAAAGCUCUUUCGUCCGGGACGAUAAUGACGGUACCGGAAGAAGAAGCCCCGGCUAACUUCGUGCCAGCCGCCGCCGUAA
rnacentral:rRNA from 1 species